AGCCAUGGUAUAACCGAUUAUACGCCAUGACGUAACGUUGCGGGGACACCCCCACAGCCAUAUUAAUUUUCAAAAAAUGCACAAAAUUUAUUAGUCCGUAGAAAACAGUGCGUAACUCGAAAGCGCUUCGACUUUUGAUAGUACAAGUUAGGCUAGAAAGAUAUACUAGUCAAAGAUCUACAAGAUGAUGCCUAAAUCGCUUACUAUCUCGAAGGAUUGGCUGUGAUCUGCUUCUGUCAAGCGGUAAGUAGUAGUUGCGUAUAAUACUGCUUUGUUACAUGGCUCUUUAGAUUCGCUAGAAGCUUUAUACAGUCUAAUACUCAUUGUAGUAAGUAUAUAGGACGUAGCUGUAGAGUUUGUAGUGCUGAGAAGCGUUUUUAGCCUUUUUUUUGUGCAAGUACACUAGGUACUAGGUGUGGCUGAUCACCAGAUGCAGCCUCGUGUAGUCCUAAAGAACAAAGAACAGUGGCAAUGACAGGAAGCCGGCCAUGUGUGACAGUGAACAAAGGCAGCGGCAGCACAAGGAAAAAGCAGUCUUUCGUUGGGUUGCCAUUAUGGCAGAGCCACACUCCACAUUCUUGGCAAAACCAUGUCGUGUCAGUUCGGUGUCCGUUGUGAUCACAGUGCGCACAUCUUCCUCUCCUAUGUAUCGACGGACACGGACCACUCGAAUCUUUUACGGGGAAGUGUUGGAGUUGGAGAGGAACAAUCGCACCACCAUAACGACCUGCCCGACGCCGACUGCAGUAUGAUCCGAUGAGAUUCUGGGCCAAUUGAAGGCGGAACUCCUUGAUGUUCUUCAAUUUCGGCUGUAGUAGCCCCUGAGCUGGUCACCCCUGUCAACUCCACCCAUGUGCUGGUUGUACGACAUAAUGGCCUCUGGGCAUGGCACAUUAAUUCUGACUCCAUCCUUUUGUCGCCGGAGAACGGAACCUAUAGCUGUGGGCUGUGUUGUCGUGGAGAGGACGUUCACGAUCCUGUUAUCCUUCCAGGCGGUUGCUGUCACGGGGCCCUUCUGGACUGUCUUACUGGUACCUCUGUGUAAAGGGAAUUUUUUAGGGCAGCUUUCUUCAAUGCAGGAGGAAAACCUUUCCUGUCUCUGCGAGCAGUCCCACAACCAUAGAUUCCGUCCUCCAACAAAUCCUCGAGCAGUUUGACGUUGGUGAAGAAGUUGUCAAAGUAGACGUGGUGGUUCUUCCUCUUCAACUCGCUUGUCAAUUUCUUCACCACGUGUUCCCCGAGGCCGACAUGACGUAUUUCCUGCUUCCCCGUAUACACAUCGAAACGACUGAAGUACCCAUUGGUACUAUCUCCCAGUACCCACACUUUGAUCCCACGCUUGAUCGGCUUCAUAGGCAUAUACUGCUUGAGAGCGGACCGACCCUGAAAUUUGAUCAUUGCUUCAUCCACAGCAAGAUUCUUGGAUGGAUUAUACAAGGCUGAGAAUUGCAAGCUGAAAUGAUCAAUCACAGGGCGGACCUUACCCAGCCGAUCAAACGUGGGACUUCCUCUCGGAGCAAGAUGUUGGUUGUUGACAAAGUGCAGGUACCGAGAGAUUUCCCUGAAGCGCCACCGAGGAAUCCUUGUCGUGAUGGGGGCGUAGUGUGUAAGAGGGUUAGUCGUCCAGAGAUGUUCUUCGUUGACGAAGAGGUGAAAAAUGUGUAGCGGGCAAUCAGAGAUCUCUACAGUGGGACCGGUCAGGGAUGUGAAGGCGUUUACUGUGACAGUCGUCAGAUUCUCAGACCAUUGGGUUCUUCUGGGUCCUCCUCAUCAUCGGACAAGAUAUCCCCAAGUACCUCCUCCACAGUGAAGUGCUGUCUCUUGGUCAUUCUUCAAGUUUUAGAUAGUUAGAAUUAAUUUUACAUGUAUUUUAUUUUAUUAUGUUGUACUAUUGUAUUUAAUAAUAUCUGUCAGUAUUCAAACCGUUUUUGUGCAAAAUUUUUAUGUGUUACCCCCAUGCAA